rnacentral:misc_RNA from 1 species
AAAGUCGUAACAAGGUUUCCGUAGGUGAACCUGCGGAAGGAUCAUUAAUGUAUAUUGAAUUUUAUAUUCUUUAUCAACCCACACUGUGUACCUUUUUACUGUUGCUUCCAUGGGACUUGGCUCUGCCACGUCGGCCUUAUGGCUGGUGAGUGCCCAUGGGAGGAAAACAAAACUCUUUGUUACAAUUGACGUCUGUCUGAAUUGUUUAUAUUAAACGUUAAAACUUUCAACAACGGAUCUCUUGGUUCUC